CAGUAGCCACGGUAAUACGGAGGGGGCUAGCGUUGUUCGGAAUUACUGGGCGUAAAGCGCACGUAGGCGGCUUGGUAAGUUAGAGGUGAAAGCCUGGAGCUCAACUCCAGAAUUGCCUUUAAGACUGCCGAGCUAGCAGGUGAGAGAGGUAAGUGGAAUUCCGAGUGUAGAGGUGAAAUUCGUAGAUAUUCGGAAGAACACCAGUGGCGAAGGCGGCUUACUGGCUCAUACUGGACGCUGAGGUGCGAAAGCGUGGGGAGCAAACAGGAUUAGAUACCCCGGUAGUCCCUGUCUCUUAUAA
rnacentral:rRNA from 1 species